GAUAAGAGGACACUUACAGGAAGCUUAGUGUUUGAUAAGAGGAUACUUACAGGGAGCUCAUUUCAGCCAGCUCAGUGUGAAAUGAAGUGGGGAAGAACAGGGCUGGAGCAAUUACCAAUUUUAAUUGCUAUGCACUGGACAAAACCUCUUGCUACAACUUGAGCAACAACUUAAAACUCAACCACUUAGUUUAUAAGUGAAAUAUGACAUGAUCGAUGUCUCCCAUCCCUUGAGCAAUAAGUAGAAAUUCGAUUUCAUAAGGUGCAAGGGAACAGUUUGAUAAAUGCAACUUCUGUAAGAUGAAUAGAAGAGAUGUCUGCUUACCAAGUUCCCAGAGAUGAAAUCUUUUGUGUUGGGAAAUAAAGAAAAGCGUAUGAAAUAAUUAUAUGAUGGCAAUGAGGAUGAUUUUUAAUCACACUUAGCAUUGUGGUGUGUAGAGAAAAGUCACAAGAAAAGUUGUCAAUCCAGUAUGGUUUACUUAUGUAUGUGGAGCAAACACAAUUUCCUCCGAUCGUAAAGAGAAAGAAUGAGGACAGAUGGGAACCAGGCAGUCCUUUUGAUGUUGCUGGAUUGAAACUCUUAGCAUUUUUCAUCAUUCACUAUUGUAGCUAAAACUGCUAGGAUUUGAAGAGCAACAUCUGGAAGGUGGCAUCGUUCCUACACUUGGGAUAGGGCAACAAGACCAGGAGAAGGAGGCACUUUUAAUUCCCAUCAUUCUAUGCAAGAGCUUGGAAAAGUUACCUUUUUGGAUUAAUACAUUCAGAAUAUUUCUUCCAGCAUGGCUAUUGGCCAUGUUAUUUGUGGGGGAGGUGCGUUCUGGAAGGUUAUUAAAGUUCUGGUUCUGUCUGGUAGACAUCUUUUUUUGGUGGAAGAUACAUGGAUGAUAGAAAGUUGGGGUGGAUUUCUGCUGUUAGCAAGGCCUCAGGGUUGUUGUUCUUGUUUGCAGCUGCUUCAGUCUACAACCCCUCUGGGAUGGUCUAAAUUUAGGAUACCGACAUCUGGCAAUAGCAACAUGUCUUCUAGGAUUUGUUUGACAGCAUAGUUGUUAAUCCCAGCUAGAAUAGAUUUCACAUCUUUGUAGAGAAUGAAAACAUCACAAGAGUUUGGGCCGGGUAUAACCAGAAACGUGCCUCCUGAAUCUCAUUGGAUGAUUAGAACUGAAAACUAUUACUUGCUGACCAAUCAGGGAAUAUUGAGACAAGACAAAGAAGACUGGAUUGCAACUUUGAAAGGAGAGAUGAGAUGAAUUAGUGCAAAGCACUUGGAGCUGUGGUCCCAUUACUAUUCAACAGGACUGAUGUGUUAGAUGAAAGUUUCCUUCUCUAUAUUUAAGGACACUGUUUCUUUCUUUAUUCCUUUUGCACUCCUAUGGAGUAUAUGCCUCCAACUGAAGACAAUGCUUUAUGUGUCUGAUUAAGUAAACUGUAGUCUAUGAAAUCUUGUGCUAUAAUAAAUGUGCCAGUCUCCAAGAUGUUACACAACUCUUUGUUGUGGUUUGGUUUCCUUCCAUAUGUUACAACAAUGCUCAUCUUGAUCUCUUGUUUGAUAGCAAACAUUCAUAAAAUGAUUAAUUCUAUGGAUUUAUCUUGUAGCCGCUGGGAUCCUGCUGGGAUCCACUGAAG